CGACGUGAGGAUGGGCUGGCUGCCAUGUCUGUCAUCCCAGCGAUCCCCAGAGUUGAUCGGCCGUGUGGCUGGCUAGGCAUGUGUCUUCCUCCUCCCUCACUGCUCUACCUGCGUCCCUCCUGAAGCUAAGCACUCAAAGAGGAUGACCUUCCUUGAUGGAGGAGGAUCUUUCUUCAGUCAGGGGUAUGCCAGUGGCUGCGCUAUCCUGCUGGAACCCCCAAACAAGUUUUCAUUUAUUUGUUCAUCCAUCCUCUCGCCCAUUCAGCCAUCCAUCCUCUUAAAACUUUUUUUUUUUAAUGUUUAU
ensembl:misc_RNA 7SK 7SK RNA